AAGUCAGUUUGUUCCAAAAGAUAUAACAAGAUAUAUCUAUACUUGUUCCAAAGUCAUAAGCUGUGAAAUUUUUAUAUUUGUGAGUAAAGCGCUCCUAAAACAAUAGCUUUUUAUUAUUAAUACCAAUAUACGGAUAUCGUAAAUUGGUCUAAUUGAUCAUUACAUGUUUAUGUAAUAAAGCGACAUUUAUGACCCGCUAUUUGAUGAAACUAUCAGAUACUUGAUCUAGUGCUGAAAAGAUACAGAUAAUGAGGAUACGGAGUAUGGUUUUAUGCAAAAAUUACAUAACAAGUCUAUAGUC